AGCAGUCGCCGCGGGAAUACGUAGGGUGCAAGCGUUAAUCGGAAUUACUGGGCGUAAAGCGUGCGCAGGCGGUUCGUUAAGACAGAUGUGAAAUCCCCGGGCUUAACCUGGGAACUGCAUUUGUGACUGGCGGGCUAGAGUAUGGCAGAGGGGGGUAGAAUUCCACGUGUAGCAGUGAAAUGCGUAGAGAUGUGGAGGAAUACCGAUGGCGAAGGCAGCCCCCUGGGCCAAUACUGACGCUCAUGCACGAAAGCGUGGGGAGCAAACAGGAUUAGAUACCCGCGUAGUCCCUGUCUCUUAUAC
rnacentral:rRNA from 1 species